rnacentral:rRNA from 1 species
AGGUGGAUGAGGAGAGAAUCCUAAGGCCGGCGGAAGAAGUAUUGCCAAGGAACUCGGCAAAAUGGCCCCGUAACUUAGGGAGAAGGGGUGCCUGCGAGAGCAGGCCGCAGAGAAUAGGCUCAAGCAACUGUUUAGCAAAAACACAGGUCUAUGCGAAACCGAAAGGUGAGGUAUAUGGGCUGACGCCUGCCCGGUGCUGGAAGGUUAAGAGGAGAGGUUAGACGCAAGUCGAAGCUUUGAAUUUAAGCCCCAGUAAACGGCGGCCGUAACUAUAACGGUCCUAAGGUAGCGAAAUUCCUUGUCGGGUAAGUUCCGACCCGCACGAAAGGCGUAAUGAUUUGAGCGCUGUCUCGGCAAUACAUCCGGUGAAAUUGAAGUGCCAGUGAAGAUGCUGGCUACCCGCGCCAGGACGGAAAGACCCCAUGGAGCUUUACUCCAGUUUGGCACUGGGGUCCGGUGUUGCAUGUACAGGAUAGGUGGGAGGCUGAGAGAUAGUGACGUCAGUUGCUAUGGAGCCGCUGUUGGGAUACCACCCUUGUGAUAUUGGGCUUCUAACCAGCCGCCGUGAACCGGCGGUGGGACAAUGCCAGGCGGGGAGUUUGACUGGGGCGGUCGCCUCCGAAAGGGUAUCGGAGGCGCCCAAAGGUUCCCUCAGAAUGGACGGAAACCAUUCGAAGAGUGCAAAGGCAGAAGGGAGCUUGACUGCGACACCGACGGGUGGAGCAGGUACGAAAGUAGGGCUUAGUGAUCCGGUGGUAUUAAGUGGGAAUGCCAUCGCUCAACGGAUAAAAGCUACCCUGGGAUAACAGGCUUAUCACUCCCAAGAGUUCACAUCGACGGAGUGGUUUGGCACCUCGAUGUCGGCUCAUCGCAUCCUGGGGCUGUAGUAGGUCCCAAGGGUUGGGCUGUUCGCCCAUUAAAGCGGUACGCGAGCUGGGUUCAGAACGUCGUGAGACAGUUCGGUCCCUAUCCGGCGUGGGCGUAGGAUAUCUGAGAGGAGCUGUCCUUAGUACGAGAGGACCGGGAUGGACGGACCGCUGGUGGACCGGUUGGCUUGCCAAAGCCAUGGCCGGGUAGCCAAGUCCGGAAGGGAUAAACGCUGAAGGCAUCUAAGCGUGAAGCCCCCCUCAAGAUGAGAUAUCCCAUUCUUUAAGAAGUAAACCCCCUUGAAGACGACGAGGUAGAUAGGGCAGAGGUGGAAGUGUGGUAACACAUGGAGCUGACUGUUACUAAUCGGGUGAGGGCUUGACCUA